rnacentral:tRNA from 1 species
GGGUGGCUAGCUCAGCUGGUCAGAGCACUGUCCUGAUAAGACAGGGGUCGAUGGUUCGAGUCCAUCGCCACCCACCA